rnacentral:rRNA from 1 species
CAGUAGCCACGGGAAUACAGAGGGUGCAAGCGUUAAUCGGAAUUACUGGGCGUAAAGCGCGCGUAGGUGGUUCGCCAAGUUGGAUGUGAAAUCCCCGGGCUCAACCUGGGAACUGCAUCCAAAACUGGCGAGCUAGAGUAUGGUAGAGGGUGGUGGAAUUUCCUGUGUAGCGGUGAAAUGCGUAGAUAUAGGAAGGAACAUCAGUGGCGAAGGCGACCACCUGGACUGAUACUGACACUGAGGUGCGAAAGCGUGGGGAGCAAACAGGAUUAGAUACCCCAGUAGUCCCUGUCUCUUAUAA